rnacentral:rRNA from 1 species
UGCAAGUCGAACGCGAAAGGCGCUUUCGGGUGCCGAGUAGAGUGGCGAACGGGUGAGUAAUGCAUGGAUAACCUGUCCCUGAGAGGGGAAUAACUUCUCGAAAGGGGAGCUAAUACCCCGUAAUGUUUCGUGUCUGCGGGUGCGAAACCAAAAGAUAGCCUCUGCAUGCAAGCUUUCGCUCAGGGAGGGGUUCAUGUCCUAUUAGCUUGUUGGUGAGGUAACGGCUCACCAAGGCGACGAUGGGUAGCCGGCCUGAGAGGGUGUCCGGCCACACUGGGACUGAGACACUGCCCAGACUCCUACGGGAGGCUGCAGUCGAGAAUCUUCCGCAAUGCGCGCAAGCGUGACGGAGCGACGCCGCGUGGGCGACGAAGGCCUUCGGGUUGUAAAGCCCUGUUUCCCACUAUGAAUGGCAGGCGGUAAAUAGCUGUCCUGUUUGACGUAAGUGGGGGAGGAAGCACCGGCUAAAUACGUGCCAGCAGCCGCGGUAAUACGUAUGGUGCGAACGUUGUUCGGAAUCACUGGGCAUAAAGAGCACGUAGGCGGUCUGGUUAGUCUGUCUGUGAAAUCCCUCGGCUUAACCGAGGAACUGCAGCGGAUACUGCCGGACUGGAGUACAGGAGGGGAGAGUGGAAUUCCUGGUGGAGCGGUGAAAUGCGUAGAUAUCAGGAGGAACGCCGGUGGCGAAAGCGACUCUCUGGCCUGUUACUGACGCUGAG